rnacentral:rRNA from 1 species
CAGUCGCCGCGGUAAAACGGAGGAUCCGAGCGUUAUCCGGAAUUAUUGGGUUUAAAGGGUGCGUAGGCGGAUAGAUAAGUCAGUGGUGAAAGACGGUGGCUCAACCAUCGCAGUGCCGUUGGUACUGUUUAUCUUGAAUAUGGAUGAGGUAGGCGGAAUGUGGCAAGUAGCGGUGAAAUGCAUAGAUAUGCCACAGAACACCGAUUGCGAAGGCAGCUUACCAAGGCAAAAUUGACGCUGAGGCACGAAAGCGUGGGGAUCGAACAGGAUUAGAUACCCCCGUAGUCCCUGUCUCUUAUAC